UGUGCUUACAAAUGGGUAUAAUAAGAAAUUGAAUGUUACAUAUAUUUUUGUCACAACAAAAAAAUACAAAAGGAUAACAUCACAGUAUGGGAUUUUAAAGAUUAAAAAAAUAAAAUUUUAACGAUAAAAAAGCAAAAGAAAAAAAAGUAGAAGGAAGGUAAAUAAGAUCUAAGAAUGUUCCAGGACCUUUGUAUUAUUUGGCAUGAAGUAAAAAUACAAAUUAACCCAUAGACUCUAAUCAAUUAAGUGUGAUACUUACUAUGUGUCAGCUGAACUGGGCCACAGCACACCCAGGUAUUUGGUCAAACGUUAUUCUGGGUGUGUCUGUGAAGGUGUUUGUGGAUGUGAUUGACAUUUGAAUCAACAGACCCCGGGAAGUGGAUCACCCUCCCUAAUGUGGGUGAGCCUCAGCUCAUCAGCUGAUGGCCUGAUGGGACCAAAAGGCAGGCCCUUCCUUCAGUGAGGGCGCUUCUACCUAUCUGAUGACCCAGGCAGGUGACCUCUCCCUGCCUUCACGCUUGAACUGAGAAGCGGCUCUUCUUGGGUGGUGAGGCUGCCGGCUUUCACACUGGAAUUCACACCAUCCGAUGAUCUGGUUCUCGGGCCUUCAGACUCAGACAGGAACUACCUGUUGGUUCCCCUGGGCCUCCACCUGGCCUCCAGCAGAUCUUGAGACUUCUCAGCCUCCAUAACCACGGGAGCCAGUUCCCCAUAAGAAACAUAUCUGUCUGUCUGUCUGUCUGUCUGUGUCCCUGUUGGUUCUGUUUCUCUGGAAACAUGGAUUCUACGUUAUGAAAAAAAAAUGAGUGUACAACAUCCAAAUUAAA
rnacentral:lncRNA from 1 species